GCUUUAAACAAGGGAACACCAUGAUCUGAUUUUGCAUUAAGAAGGUCACAGUGGCUGCUGUGUGGAAUUGGACAGCCCAGUGCAGAAGUAGCGAGGCCCAUGUGUAGGGUUUUACCUUCAGGCAGGAGAAAAGGACAGCUGCUUAUGCCAGGGAGUGGCAAUGGGGAUGGAGAGGAGUCCAAGCAUUCAGGCCAUGUGUUGGAAGUUGAGAGGACCAGACUGGGCAGUGGGUGGACUGUGGGAGCUGAAGCGGAGGCGGAAUCAAGGUUUCUGGUCUGAGCCACUGUGUGGUGGUGCCACACUCCAAGGUGUGAAUUACUGCAUCAUCACUUGCACCUCAAGAUGCCCAUGACGGUGGUCAGGUCAAUUUUCCACUUGCAAUGACUGUGCCCUGGAUUGCAAGGAACAGCAAGAAAGCUAUGUUUGGGAGACUUCAGGACCAACAGACCUAGUCUUUGGUGGUGAAUUCAUCCUGGCACAGCAGGGGAAAAAACAGGGGAGCCCAGUUGAGGAACUACAGUGGGCUGCAGCUGCCCUCUUUGCUCCCAUUCCUUCUUUUCUAGUUCUUGUUUUCCCCUGCCCACCACUCCCCUAUCAUCUCUUUCCUGUUCCUCUCCUGCACUCUCCGUGUAUCUGUAUCAAACACAAGUUUUGCAAAGGCACACCUAUGUAUGGCUUCCUCUGCCUAUUCCAUAGAAUCUCUCAUAUCUUCCUCUCAUUUCUGCUAGGUGACUCAGAGCUUGAAAGUGUGUUGUCACAAUGUAGGUAACCAAAAGUGUUCAUGAAAUUAAAAAGGCUAGAAAAUAAGGCCAUAUGUGAUUUCUUCUGCUACAAAAUGGAAACUUGUGGGUACUGAGCCAUGUAUUGGUCCUUGAAAAAUGGUAAUUUCUUGGGUGCUCUUUAACAGGGCAACUUGAGAAGAACUAGAUAUGAGGAUGAAGAGAACUGGGGGCCAGAAGGAAAACUGAGGCCUGGAGCAAAGAGACUUUAUGGACAACUUACAAGCAGCAUUCCUGAGUUUGGGGAGAGUGAAAAGGGGCCAUGUGAACAUGAUAUCCUCCAUGAUGACUAAGGGGCCUGGUUCCCAAACACUGCCGGCCAAAUGGCUCUUCAAAUGUGCAGCCCUUUCAAUGCUGUUUCAAAGUCUAGCAUUUCUAACCUUCUGUCCAGUUCCCAUGGUUUCAUAAGUUAUCCAUACUGCUUAUGGGGAGGGAAUGGUCUGAGGAAUCAAUGUUAAAAUGGAAUCAGUAUUCUUUUGACAUUCUUGUCAGUCUUUCUCUGUAUGUAACGUUUCUAACUUGCACAACUCUUUAGCCUUGAGAGCCUCUCCAACGGUACAAUCAGCCAUGAACAGGACCUCUAUUGUUUCAAGCAGUCUGGAGGCUCAACCACACAGGAGCAAUGCAGGGUCUCAAUUGAGUAUCCAUUGGUUUCCUAAACUAGAAUAGAAGCUUUGUGAGGGGAGGAGCUUAUCUUCUAUCUUCCCCUGUAGACUCAAGUAUUGUACCAGUGUCUGGCACACAGAUUAAAUGUAGUAAAUAUGUGCUUAAUAAACAAAUAAAAGGCCUGGCAAAGCCCUAAAACUUUGCUAAUGGCCCCAGUAGGGUAGAACUACUGUAUAGGCAAAUUCAUGUAUUAGCCUUUUGUUAAUAUUUGAAUUUGGGAACAAUCAUUUAGAGAAAUCAUGCAGUCAAAACAUGAAAGAUCUAUGAAAAUCAAACAUACAGUACUUGGGAAACCCAAAGGCCACUAAUGACCUGGAAGCAAGGCCCAACUUCUUAACUAAAACAGAUAAUUCACCCUGGUGUGUGCUCCUGGUUCCCUGCUAAUGCUGGGGCUUGGGUCAGUUUCCACGUGUAGCUAAAAGGGCUUAGUCAGUUGAGAACAGUUCACCCACAGGGAGCAGUAGAGGGGGAUAAAACCCAGGAGCAGGGCAACUAAGUCUCAACUAAGUCUGGCACUAAUAUCAAAGUGGGAUUUAGGGCUAGCAAGCCUGAUUCUCAGAGUGACACCUAUACACAGUAAAUGGAAUGAUGGGGAAGGGGAGGGACAUAAAAAGCUCAGAUAUAUCCUGACAUCCACCAAAAUAAAAGAAAUCUCUCUAUUAACCCUUGGAUUUGAAAGACUGAGCUACUGUAUUAAAAUAAAGUCAUUCUCAGAAGGUGAACCAUUUAGUUUUUCUUAGGGAAGGAACAUGACAAUGUCUUCAGCUUGGUCCACUUAGUGGGGGCUUCUGGGAGAAGCAACCCAGGCUGGCUAAGUAUAGACUGAUGGGGUGCUGCCUGGGGAAGGGGAAUUGAAAUGGUUACUGAUUACCUGGUGGCCUUGAGCUUUUAGCAGACAUGCAAAUGUGCCCAAAUAUUCCAGACUGUCAAGAAACCGAGCUGCCUGUGAGUGGGCAGCUCUAAGAGUAGUAGAGUUUAUGGCCCCUGAACACAGUUGGGAGAUAACCCAGAAAGCAUCUUCGACAUCAUCAAGUGAUUUCUCUCUAACAAUAGGCUCUCACAAUGAUGGGUUUGGCCUAUGUAGCUGAUACUGAUCCCUCAGACAAAUAGUGAUAAAGAGAACUGAGAGGACUCCCCUUAUACAUAUGCAAAGGGAGGGACUCUCUGAGAAACUCUCUAGCA